rnacentral:rRNA from 1 species
GCAAUUAUACCGUGAAACUGCGAAUGGCUCAUUAAAUCAGUUAUCGUUUAUUUGAUAAUACCUUACUACUUGGAUAACCGUGGUAAUUCUAGAGCUAAUACAUGCUGAAAAUCCCGACUUCGGAAGGGAUGUGUUUAUUAGAUAAAAAACCAAUGCCCUUCGGGGCUUUUUGGUGAUUCAUGAUAACUUUACGGAUCGCAUAGCCUUGCGCUGGCGACGGUUCAUUCAAAUUUCUGCCCUAUCAACUUUCGAUGGUAAGGUAUUGGCUUACCAUGGUUUCAACGGGUAACGGGGAAUUAGGGUUCGAUUCCGGAGAGGGAGCCUGAGAAACGGCUACCACAUCCAAGGAAGGCAGCAGGCGCGCAAAUUACCCAAUCCCGACACGGGGAGGUAGUGACAAUAAAUACUGAUACAGGGCUCUUUUGGGUCUUGUAAUUGGAAUGAGUACAAUUUAAACCUCUUAACGAGGAACAAUUGGAGGGCAAGUCUGGUGCCAGCAGCCGCGGUAAUUCCAGCUCCAAUAGCGUAUAUUAAAGUUGUUGCAGUUAAAAAGCUCGUAGUUGAAACUUGGGCCUGGCUGGCGGGUCCGCCUCACCGCGUGCACUCGUCCGGCCGGGCCUUCCUUCUGAAGAACCUCAUGCCCUUCACUGGGCGUGCUGGGGAAUCAGGACUUUUACUUUGAAAAAAUUAGAGUGUUCAAAGCAGGCCUUUGCUCGAAUACGUUAGCAUGGAAUAAUAAAAUAGGGCGUGCGUUUCUAUUUUGUUGGUUUCUAGAGACGCCGCAAUGAUUAACAGGAACAGUCGGGGGCAUCAGUAUUCAGUUGUCAGAGGUGAAAUUCUUGGAUUUACUGAAGACUAACUACUGCGAAAGCAUUUGCCAAGGAUGUUUUCAUUAAUCAGUGAACGAAAGUUAGGGGAUCGAAGACGAUCAGAUACCGUCGUAGUCUUAACCGUAAACUAUGCCGACUAGGGAUCGGGCGAUGUUCUUUUUCUGACUCGCUCGGCACCUUACGAGAAAUCAAAGUUUU